rnacentral:tRNA from 1 species
GCCUGGGUGGCUUAGUUGGUUAAAGCGUCCGACUUCGGCUCAGGUCAUGAUCUCAUGGUUCAUGAGUUCAAGCCCAGCCUCAGGCU